rnacentral:rRNA from 1 species
CUACGGAGGUUGCAAGCGUUAAUCGGAAUUACUGGGCGUAAAGCGUACGUAGGCGGUUCGUUAAGUUAGAUGUGAAAGCCCCGGGCUUAACCUGGGAACUGCAUUUAAAACUGGCGAACUAGAGUUGAGUAGAGGGGAUUGGAAUUUCAGGUGUAGUGGUGAAAUGCGUAGAGAUCUGAAGGAACACCAGUGGCGAAGGCGACUCCCUGGACUCGAACUGACGCUGAGGUACGAAAGCGUGGGUAGCAAACGGGAUUAGAAACCCUUGUAGUCC